UUGAAAGGGAAACGAUUGAAGUCAGUCGUACCUAUGGGUAAUCAGCCUUUUGGGUGUGAUUUUGUGGAGCGUGAAGAGUUAAACGCCUUCAUGCCUGCAUAUUCGUGCACUUUGGGUGUACUUGCCCGUGUGUAAGUUAACAUCAAUUUUGGUGGUCAUAAAAUGGCUGGAGGAAUGUAGCUUCGAUCUUGUAUUGAAGUGUUAUAGCCUUCGGUAGAUGUGACGAUCGGGAUUGAGGAUUGCAACGGAUACCCUUCGGGGCUACCUGUCUGAUCUCUGAUUGUUGCUCUGGUGCCGAAAGCUUGCUUACGGUUAUCAAAGUCGAUUGUCAAUAGGUUAGAACGGGUUAAAUUCGUUAAGGAUGUUGACGUA
rnacentral:rRNA from 1 species